GAUGAACGCUGGCGGCGUGCCUAAUACAUGCAAGUCGAGCGAACAGACGGGGAGCUUGCUCCUCUGACGUUAGCGGCGGACGGGUGAGUAACACGUGGAUAACCUACCUAUAAGACUGGGAUAACUUCGGGAAACCGGAGCUAAUACCGGAUAAUAUAUUGAACCGCAUGGUUCAAUAGUGAAAGACGGUUUUGCUGUCACUUAUAGAUGGAUCCGCGCCGCAUUAGCUAGUUGGUAAGGUAACGGCUUACCAAGGCAACGAUGCGUAGCCGACCUGGGAGGGUGAUCGGCCACACUGGAACUGAGACACGGUCCAGACUCCUACGGGAGGCAGCAGUAGGGAAUCUUCCGCAAUGGGCGAAAGCCUGACGGAGCAACGCCGCGUGAGUGAUGAAGGUCUUCGGAUCGUAAAACUCUGUUAUUAGGGAAGAACAAAUGUGUAAGUAACUAUGCACGUCUUGACGGUACCUAAUCAGAAAGCCACGGCUAACUACGUG
rnacentral:rRNA from 1 species